AUUGAACGCUGGCGGCAGGCCUAACACAUGCAAGUCGAGCGAGCGGCGGACGGGUGAGUAAUGUGUGUGAAGCUGCUCGAUGGAGGGGGAUAAAUCCAGGAAACGGUAGUUAAUACAGCAUACCAUCAGGUAUGACCAGAUGGGUUUAGCUAGUAGGUGGGGGAAAGGCUCACCCAGGCGACGAUCCCUAGCUGGUCUGUGAGGAUGAUCAGCCACACUGGAACUGGGACACGGUCCAGACUCCUACGGGAGGCAGCAGUGGGGAAUAUUGCACAAUGGGCGCAAGCCUGAUGCAGCCAUGCCGCGUGUGUGAAGAAGGCCUUCGGGUUGUAAAGCACUUUCAGCGGGGAGGCGUUACCCGCAGAAGAAGCACCGGCUAACUCCGUGCCAGCAGCCGCGGUAAUUC
rnacentral:rRNA from 1 species